UACGUAGGGUGCGAGCGUUGUCCGGAAUUAUUGGGCGUAAAGGGCUCGUAGGCGGUUUGUCGCGUCGGGAGUGAAAACACCGGGCUUAACUCGGUGCUUGCUUUCGAUACGGGCAGACUAGAGGUAUGCAGGGGAGAACGGAAUUCCCGGUGUAGCGGUGAAAUGCGCAGAUAUCGGGAAGAACACCCGUGGCGAAGGCGGCUCUCUGGGACGGUACUGACGCUGAGACGCGAAAGCGUGGGGAGCGAACAGG
rnacentral:rRNA from 1 species